CUCCCUGUGACCACGUGAGCUUCCUCCGGGUGCUCCGGUUUCCUCCCACAGUCCCUAUUGCUUGUUACUUCCUCGAAGAACUCUAACAGAUUUGUCAGGAUCAUCAUGUGGCUGGAUGUGCCAACACUGCCGAACAUUCUCA